UACGAAGGGGGCUAGCGUUGUUCGGAAUCACUGGGCGUAAAGCGCGCGUAGGCGGCCCGGUAAGUCCGCUGUAAAAGUCAAAGGCUCAACCUUUGAAUGUCAGUGGAUACUGCCGGGCUAGAGUCCGGAAGAGGCGAGUGGAACUCCUGGUGUAGCGGUGGAAUGCGCAGAUAUCAGGAGGAACACCGAUGGCGAAGGCAGCUCGCUGGGACGGUACUGACGCUGAGGCGCGAAAGCGUGGGGAGCGAACAGG
rnacentral:rRNA from 1 species